rnacentral:rRNA from 1 species
AUUGAACGCUGGCGGCAGGCCUAACACAUGCAAGUCGAACGAGUGGCGGACGGGUGAGUAAUGUCUGGGAAACUGCCCGAUGGAGGGGGAUAACUACUGGAAACGGUAGCUAAUACCGCGUACGAUCGGAUGUGCCCAGAUGGGAUUAGCUUGUAGGUGAGGUAACGGCUCACCUAGGCGACGAUCCCGAGCUGGUCUGAGAGGAUGACCAGCCACAUGGGAACUGAUACACGGUCCAGACUCCUACGGGAGGUAUCAGUGGGGAAUAUGGCACAAUGGGCGCAAGCCGGAUGCAGCCAUGCCGCGGGUAUGAAGAAGGCCUUCGGGUUGUAAAGUACGGUCAGCGGGGAGGCGUUACCCGCAGAAGAAGCACCGGCUAACUCCGUGCCAGCAGCCGCGGUAAUUC